CCGAGUUCCCGCACGACCCCGACGGGGAGGAGCUGGACGAUGACCCCCCCCGGCGCAAGAACAAGGCCAAGGGCAAGGCCUACGGGCUGGUGAUGAAGAGGAGGGUGGACGCGGUGCUGGAGGAGAGGGACAAACCCUACGUGUGCGACAUCUGCGGGAAGCGCUACAAGAACCGCCCGGGGCUGAGCGACCACUGCAGCCACAGCGGCC